rnacentral:rRNA from 1 species
GAUGAACGCUGGCGGCGUGCCUAAUACAUGCAAGUCGAGCGAAUGGAUUAAGAGCUUGCUCUUAUGAAGUUAGCGGCGGACGGGUGAGUAACACGUGGGUAACCUGCCCAUAAGACUGGGAUAACUCCGGGAAACCGGGGCUAAUACCGGAUAACAUUUUGAACCGCAUGGUUCGAAAUUGAAAGGCGGCUUCGGCUGUCACUUAUGGAUGGACCCGCGUCGCAUUAGCUAGUUGGUGAGGUAACGGCUCACCAAGGCAACGAUGCGUAGCCCACCUGAGAGGGUGAUCGGCCACACGGGGACUGAGAGACGGCCCAGACUCCUACGGGAGGCAGCAGUAGGGAAUCUUCCGCAAUGCACGAAAGUCUGACGGAGCAACGCCGCGUGAGUGAUGAAGGCUUUCGGGUCGUAAAACUCCGUUGUUAGGGAAGAACAAGUGCUAGUUGAAUAAGCUGACACCUUGACGGUACCUAACCAGAAAGCCACGGCUAACUACGUGCCAGCCGCCGCUGUAA